CACCAUUCUGCUUGGGUUGUCAGAAAAUUGGCCAAAUUCUCUUAUUCAUUCUACUAUUUUAAAAUUUCUAUGUUCACAAUGAUAUGAUCUAAAACUGCAGAUGAUAUCCAUCUUCCUUGCUGUUUUCCUUCCAAUCCUUUUGCUUAGUUUUUUCACCUUGUUCUUCCGGGAGCCCCUGCUGCUGACGCCGAUGCUGGGGUCUCGGGUGUCCCUUCUCGUCUCGCUCCUGACUUGGGGAGGCAGAUUUCAACAUGGAACAGCAGGAGCAGUUUCCUGAUAAGAAAAGCUCAGCAGACUGUCUCAACUUCUAGACUCCUGCUUUGUGAGACUGCUGGUUUCCUAAAGUUGUGCCAGAUCAGCUCCCGGGAGAGGUAAACGUUAUUAGCAGGUGCACUGAGGCUGUUAUCUGCUAACAUCAUCCAGCAGGAAAAUGCGAC
rnacentral:lncRNA from 10 species